UACGAAGGGGGCUAGCGUUGUUCGGAAUCACUGGGCAUAAAGGGCGCGUAGGCGGCUCUCAAAGUCAGGGGUGAAAUCCGGCAGCUUAACUGUCGAAGUGCCUUUGAUACUGGGGAGCUCGAGGGAGGUAGGGGUGUGUGGAACUUCCGGUGGAGCGGUGAAAUGCGCAGAUAUCAGGAGGAACACCGGUGGCGAAGGCGGGUCUCUGGGCCGAUACUGACGCUGAGGAGCGAAAGCGUGGGGAGCGAACAGG
rnacentral:rRNA from 1 species